GACGAACCGUGCGAACGUUAUUCGGAAUCACUGGGCUUAAAGGGCGCGUAGGCGGGCUGUCAAGUCUGGGGUGAAAUCCCGCGGCUCAACCGCGGAACUGCCUCAGAUACUGACGGCCUCGAGGGAGGUAGGGGCAUGCGGAACUGUAGGUGGAGCGGUGAAAUGCGUUGAUAUCUACAGGAACUCCGGUGGCGAAAGCGGCGUGCUGGACCUCUUCUGACGCUGAGGCGCGAAAGCUAGGGGAGCAAACGGG
rnacentral:rRNA from 1 species